GAUGAACGCUGGCGGCGUGCCUAAUACAUGCAAGUCGAGCGAACAGACGAGGAGCUUGCUCCUCUGACGUUAGCGGCGGACGGGUGAGUAACACGUGGAUAACCUACCUAUAAGACUGGGAUAACUUCGGGAAACCGGAGCUAAUACCGGAUAAUAUAUUGAACCGCAUGGUUCAAUAGUGAAAGACGGUUUUGCUGUCACUUAUAGAUGGAUCCGCGCCGCAUUAGCUAGUUGGUAAGGUAACGGCUUACCAAGGCAACGAUGCGUAGCCGACCUGAGAGGGUGAUCGGCCACACUGGAACUGAAACACAGUCCAGACUCCUACGGGAGGCAGCAGUAGGGAAUCUUCAGCAAUGGGCGAAAGCUUGACGGAGCAACGCCGCGUGAGUGAUGAAGGUCUUCGGAUCGUAAAACUCUGUUAUUAGGGAAGAACAAAUGUGUAAGUAACUAUGCACGUCUUGACGGUACCUAAUCAGAAAGCCACGGCUAACUACGUG
rnacentral:rRNA from 1 species